AUCUCUAGCUUGUGCGCGUCGAAGAGCAGGAUGAUGAGGUCCACGCGCUCCGCGAACCAGCGCAGCACCGCCGGGAAGUCGUAGCCUGGGGGCCGAUCCAGACGUAUAGGUUGUCAAAAUACUGAAGUGUUUCUUAACAGACUCUCCGUGCUUCUAUGACACCCCCCACCCCUCCGCGAGUCUCCCAAGUGCCACCAUCACCCCAGCCCCGUCCUCGGACUUCUGGAUCUCCCCACAAUCCAGCCACCGAAGAGUUCACGUUGGCUCUGGCUAUGCUUUUGCUAGAACAGAUGGUAAAUAUUUUGAGUUUA